rnacentral:tRNA from 1 species
AUCUUUAAACAUAUAGUUUAAUAGGUUUAAAAUAUUAGUCUUCAAAAUUAAUGAUACAGGUUCAAGUCCUGUUGUGGGUG